GCUCCAAUAGCGUAUAUUAAAGUUGUUGCGGUUAAAAAGCUCGUAGUUGGAUUUCUGCAUGGGAUGACUGGUCCGCCUCUGUGUGUGUAUCUGGGUCAGCCUCUGCAUCUUCGUGGAGAACGCAGCUGCACUUGAUUGUGUGGCGCGGUAUCUGUGACUUUUACUUUGAGGAAAUUAGAAAGUUUCAAGCAGGUAUGUGC
rnacentral:rRNA from 1 species